rnacentral:lncRNA from 1 species
GCUCAUGCCACUCGGAGCCUCGUGUCUCUUCCACAUAACGAAUCAGGGGUAAGUGUCCAGGAUCGGGGAGGGGCUCCACGGUGGUGAUCAGGGACUUGUUGAUGGACGUCUGGGUGGCUUUCUAUUGCAGGGAGCCUCCUUGUCACUGUGUGGACAGACGCUUCCAUUUCUCCCGGUGAAUUCCUAGGAGCAGAAUGGGUAGGUCAGGCACAGGUGUCUCAGGGCAAUGGAAACUCACUGUUCACAACGCGGGAAGCCGGGAAAUUCAAGAUCAAGGUGCUAGCAGAUCCGGCGUCUGGCAAGGGCUGGUGCCUUCUUGCUGUGUCCUCACAUGGCCGGAGGAGCAAAAGGCUAACCAGCUCCCUUGAGCCUCUUCACAAGGGCGCUAACUCCGUCCAGGAGGCCCCACCCUUGUGAUUAAAACCGUCCCUAAGCACCCCCCUUAGUACUCUCACACGGGCAACCAAGUUUCAGUGCAGAUUCUGUAGGAGACACAACCUCCCAUCCAGAGCAGUAAGAGACGGCCAGACGGUUUUCACAGUGGCUGAGCCGUGGCACUGGGACCAGCUGUGACGGGAGGUGAUUCUGUCAGCCUACACUUGCUAUUUUCAAUCUCAAGUGGUGCCCCUCCUGCUGGGUAUGAAGGGUAACUGGAGGGUUUCCGUUUCCUGUCUCUUGAGGGUUGCUAACGUCUUUUCAAGUGCGAGUUGGCUGUUUGGAUGCAUCUUCUCUUUGGUGAGGUGCCUCUCGUAUCUUCUGCCUGUUUAAGACUGUGGGUCAUUUCAUGUGUAGGAGUGCUUUAUGUGAGGUGAUGCUGGUCCUCCCUCGCAUCCGGACAGGCAUUAAGAUACCGUUCCUGACCCGGGAGAGGCUCUCGGUUCUCUUAAGGGUGUUUUGUGCUCACUAUAAAUUCUCCAUUUUCAUGGCGCCCUGUUUACCGCUUUUUCUUUUAUGCUAAUGCUUUUGCCUCUUGGUCAAGGAAACUCCUCCUGCCGGUGAGGCCUUUUGAACAGCUCAGUCCAUCUCCUCUCCCCCUCUGGCUGCCUCCGCCAGAGCUCCCAGAGGAUGGGGUGGGACAUCUGUGGCCAAGUGAGACCCUAAAGCCUAGAUUACCCCCCCUCCAGGGCAGAUCAGUGUCCCCACCCCCUUCCUUUCCCUGGGAGGAUUUGGGUUUACGUUGGGCUGCAAGAUUAAAGCCCAAGAGAUUAAGAGAUCGCUUCUGCCCAGGGAGGCAGUUCCGCCUUUUCGCUCCUGAUGGGGGUUGGGAUAGGAGUAGAAGGAGGGC